GAUAAACGCUGGCGGCGUGCCUAACACAUGCAAGUCGAACGAUCCCGCAAGGGAGAGUGGCGGAAGGGUGAGUAACACGUGGGAAUCUACCUCCUCGCAGGGAACAACCUCUCGAAAGAGAGGCUAAUACCCAAAAGGGUCAGUAAUGAUCAGAGUCGAAAGGCGUGAGGAGAGGAGCCCGCGGCCCAUCAGCUAGUUGGUGAGGUAAUGGCUUACCAAGGCUACGACGGGUAGGGGAUCUGAGAGGAUGUCCCCCACACUGGAACUGAAACACGGUCCAGACGCCUACGGGUGGCAGCAGUGAGGAAUAUUGGACAAUGGGCGAAAGCCCGAUCCAGCAACGCCGCGUGGAGGAUG
rnacentral:rRNA from 1 species